CAAAUUUGAAAUCUGGCACCUUCGGUGUCCGAGUUGUAAUUUGAAGAUUGUAACCUUGGGGUUGGCUCUUGUCUAUGUUUCUUGGAACAGGACGUCACAGAGGGUGAGAAUCCCGUGCGAUGAGAUGCCCAAUCCUAUGUAAGGUGCUUUCGAAGAGUCGAGUUGUUUGGGAAUGCAGCUCUAAGUGGGUGGUAAAUUCCAUCUAAAGCUAAAUAUUGGCGAGAGACCGAUAGCGAACAAGUACAGUGAUGGAAAGAUGAAAAGAACUUUGAAAAGAGAGUGAAAAAGUACGUGAAAUUGUUGAAAGGGAAGGGUUUGAGAUCAGACUCGAUAUUUUGUGAGCCUUGCCUUCGUGGCGGGGUGACCCGCAGCUUAUCGGGCCAGCAUCGGUUUGGGCGGUAGGAUAAUGGCGUAGGAAUGUGACUUUGCUUCGGUGAAGUGUUAUAGCCUGCGUUGAUGCUGCCUGCCUAGACCGAGGACUGCGAUUUUAUCAAGGAUGCUGGCAUAAUGAUCCCAAACCG
rnacentral:rRNA from 1 species